rnacentral:rRNA from 1 species
CCUACUGGUGGCAGCAGUGGGGCAUAUUUCACAAUGGGGGAAACCCUGCUGCCGCGACGCCGCGUGCGUGAAGAAGUAUUUCGGUAUGUAACGCUCUAUCAGCAGGGAAGACAGUGACGGUACCUGAUUCAGAAGCCCCGGCUAAAUACGUGCCAGCAGCCGCGGUAAUACGUAGUAUUCGAGCGUUAUCUGUCUUGAUUUGGUUUAAAGGGUGCGCAGGGGGAAGAUCAUGUCAGCGUUAAAAUUGAGAGGCUCAACCUCUUCGAGCCGUUGAGACUGGUGUUCUUGAGUGAGUGAGAAGUAUGCGGAAUGCGUGGUGUAGCGGUGAAAUGCAUAGAUAUCACGCAGAACUCCGAUGGCGAAGGCAGCAUACCGGCGCUCAACGGACGCUCAUGCACGAAAGUGUGGGUAUCGAACAGGAGUAGAUACCCUGGUAGUC